GACAAGGAAACACAUGGACAGGAGCCCCCGGGCCACAGUAUCUUGCAUUUCCUCGAGAAGGGAGAGAGGUCUCGAACUCGUGCCUGAGAGUAGGAGGGACUGGCUUAGACUCCCGGCCUGAUGUUUACUAGCUCCUUGGCCCCGAGCAGGUUACUUCUCCCUACUCUUCUCCAGGUUUUGCAUCUAUAAGAUGGGGGACAGAACGAGCUUGGCAUUGUCUGAGGACUAAAAACAGAGGAGAAUCCGCCUGCCCUCUUGGCACCGGAGAAUUAAUGGACAGGUGUCUCCUAAGGAUAUAUACCGGCUUGUAAGAUGCUGGCCAGCAGGGCUCAUGGAUGAACUCAGAGCGUAUCAUCACCAGUGGAUCCCUCUCUCUGGCAAUAAAGAUACCUUCCUGCG